rfam:Sporobacter termitidis DSM 10068 genome assembly, contig: EK05DRAFT_scaffold00001.1
GCCUCUGUAGCUCAGUUGGUAGAGCAGAGGACUGAAAAUCCUCGUGUCGUUGGUUCGAUUCCGACCGGAGGCA